rnacentral:rRNA from 1 species
UACGUAGGAGGCGAGCGUUGUCCGGAGUUACUGGGCGUAAAGCGCGCGCAGGCGGGCGCCAGGGUCUCCCGUGAAAGCCCCCAGCUCAACUGGGGAGGGUCGGGGGAAACCGGGCGCCUGGAGGCUGGGAGAGGCCGGUGGAAUUCGGGGUGUAGCGGUGAUAUGCGUAGAGCCCCCGAGGAACACCCGUGGCGAAGGCGGCCGGCUGGUCCAGUCCUGACGCUGAGGCGCGAAGGCCAGGGGAGCGAACGGG